UUGCAUUGGCUCGGUAUAUGGCCCCAAUGGAGCCGCCUUGGUGCAUGUGGCAGGCGUAGAUUGAAUUGUUUAUUCCUUCAAUCGCGACCAUGGCUUUUGGAGCGAAGAGCUCCCUAUUGGUUAUCUUAGCGGUUGCUUCAUGGGCUCGGAUUAUGAAUACGGGUGGGUGUCUGCUAGUCAUGCACUGGUCCACGCACUUACUUGCAGCCAAUUGGCUGGCGUCAUGCAUGGCAUCAAGCAAGCAUAACGUUAUUUCAAGGCUUAGACGUGCUUGCUCCACGCAAUACUGCAAGGUGGUAGGGAUGGAUUACUCAGCCUGCUUGAACGCGCACGGAACAGGAAUGGGAAGGAUAGCCACGAAUACUGAGGCCGAUGCUAGUAUCCAGUAGGCACGAAGUAGCUGAGGCAGUUUGUUUAAGAACAACUCCGAGAGCAACAAGGUCGCGUCGUGCAAGCUUACCGACAUUAUACAUAUAAAACUUUGCAUGCAUGUGCAGCAGGUUUAUCGCUGGCAGUGGCCGCUGCUGCUGCUGGAAACGACAGCAGCCACCACUUGCGGCGCUCUUUGGGGGAGACAACAAGUUCCAACAUGUCGACACUUGCUGCCGUCACCAGUAAGUUCCUUUACUUCCUUCACGCCUGCUAUGUAUGUGUUUGCUCUUGGCCAUGCGGGAAGCAAGAUAAGGUAUAACAAUUUGGGACUUACUUAUGAUGAAUAGGGUGAUUUGCUGGUGGUCAAAUCAAAAAAGUCAAAUCCUAUUCCAACAGAUCGUCCGAAAGGAUCUAUUGUCAGUGAAUGAUCAAAGCCCAACCAUACACGUGGGGCAAACAUGCACCAAUCCUUGCCGAUCGGGCCCAUGAGUUUUCGAAGCCAGACCGUGCAAACUGGACUGCUGAUCAGAGACAUGCCUCCGUCUGCAAAUUUCUGCUACUUGGUAACCCUUCGAACAAAAGGGGGCUCUGGCACCGAGGGCACAAAAAUGCUGAUCGCCCAUAUGUAUUCGUCCCAGCUGCCAAUGGCAUUUCCAACUUCCAGUACUACUGGUCUCAAUAAGCAAGAGCGUGUGGUGGAUUUUUAAUAUUGGGACUGGGAUUAUGUUGCCGGUAUGAAUUGUAUGUGUACAGCGAACGAACGUUCUGACUUAAACUUGGCUUAAACUGGCCACACAGUGUCUUAGCCAUGCAUGCAUGUGUGCAGCAUACGUGAAGCUUACUGUAGGAAUCUGGACAACCUAAGCGUGAUAACAACAAACACUGAAGUUGAAUGACAAUCAAUUGAGUUGCAUGCAUAUGUGUCUUAUGCACGGGCGGGAUGGCCAAGCACGGGACUGCAUAUUGCUGAUCGAUCGGAUCACAUCGGAUGUGAUGAUGUGCACGAAUGCAUUGAUGGAUGCAAUCACCUCAUACGUAUUUGGGUAUCGACCAACCAAUACGUAUGGUUGUGUGAAGUAGGGGGGUUUAGCUUCACCCGUGGCCACUAGCUUGGCAGUCCCUGCCUUCCCCCAUGUUUCGGGGCACCCUUAACCUUUCACCCAUGCCGGCUUCUGCGAAGUCUGUGAAUAAUCAACAACAAUGACAAUGACAACCGACUGCCAAAGGGACCAGGCAAGCAUGAUUAGCACCAGAAAAAAAACCUAUGUCCAGAAAGUCAGAAAAAUACCCAGGAUACAACAACUAUUCCCCCCUCCGGAUGCAGCGUCCCCGCUGCAUGGAAAGAGCAGACUUAGCACAGACAGGCACCAGGGAUGCGGGACACAAAGCAAUUACCUGCCCCGCGAGCCUACCUUGGCCUGGGCCUGUUGCUUAGCCUCUUCCAGCAGGGGUUUCAUAUCAGGGGUAAAGUUGUGUAUAGGUUCCCAGGAGUUGUGCUCAGAUGAAUACCCGACCCAUUUGACCAGGUAUUCAUGCACAGUGUGCUUGCGUCGGCCGUUGCCUACCCGGUGUGUGUGUGUGUGUGUGUGUGUGUGUGUGUGACCAG
rnacentral:lncRNA from 1 species